UUGGUAAAUCGGGUGAUUGCUGUGGAGUGGUCCCGCCUACGCCCCCUGGGCUUCGGCGAGGCGCUUCGCGGAGGAAAGUCCGAACACCACUUAAUAGCAGCUCGAGAACUAUUAAGAACGGUAGCGGGUAACUCCCGUCGCGUGUAAACGUAGAGAUGCGAACAGAGACGAGUCCCUUGCUUGCUUGCAAGUGAGGGGGUGAAACGGCUAAAUUCUUACUGGGGUGCAAGUACAGCGUUCCGUGGUUGGUAGUCGCCGCAAGGCGUCCGCUAGCUGGCGGUUCGAAAAGUUAGUACGCUUGAGGUUAACAGUGAUGUUAAUCCCAGAUAAAUAAUCAUCUCCCCCUAUUUUUUUAAAAAGCGGGGGAACAGAAUUCGGCUUACAGAUUUACCAGGAGA
rnacentral:RNase_P_RNA from 1 species